rnacentral:rRNA from 1 species
AUUGAACGCUGGCGGCGUGCUUAACACAUGCAAGUCGAUCGGCAACAGGUGUAGCAAUACAUGCUGACGAGAGGCGGACGGGUGAGUAAUGCUUGGGAAUCUGCCUAUUAGUGGGGGACGAACCCGGGGAAACGUCGGGCUAAUACCGCAUACGCUCUACGGAGGAAAGCCGGGGACCGCAAGGCCUGGCGCUAAUAGAUGAGCCCAAGUCGGAUUAGCUAGUUGGUAGGGAACGGCCUACCAAGGCGACAAUCCGUAGCUGGUCUGAGAGGACGACCAGCCACACCGGAACUGAGACACGGUCCGGACUCCUACGGGAGGGCAGCAGUGGGGAAUAAUUGGACAAUGGGGGCGAACCCUGAUCCAGCGACGCCGCGUGGGUGAAGAAGGCCUGCGGGUUGUAAAGCCCUUUCGGUGGGGAAGAAAAGUCUCGACCUAAUACGUCGGGACCUUGACGUAACCCACUAAAGAAGCACCGGCUAACUCUGUGCCAGCCGCCG